CCCAUCAAGAUCAUUGAGUCCAACUCCUGGCCCUGUGCAGGACACCCCAAAAAUCCAAACUAUGUGCCUGAGAGUGUUGUCAAAACGCCUCUUGAAGUCAGGCAAGCUUAGUGCCGUGACCACUUCCCUGGGGAGCCUGUUCCAAUAGUCAACUACUCUCCAGGCAUCCAGGUAGGACCUUGUUUUUCUCAUUUGCUGGAUCAGCCAUUUGGGAGUGAAGGGCCUGCUGAUUUCAGGAGUGCUGAGAUUAAAAAGCAUAAAUGAAAAAUGUGAGGUCUGGUCAAGUGAUUCAAGUGAUACCUGAGUGAAGCCGUAUUACCGAGUUGCAGGGAAAAACACCAGAUGAAGCUGAGCAAGGCCAAUCCAGGACAGCCCACCCAGUACAACCUCUGUUGCUACUUGUUUGAUAUAAAACUACACAUACUCAUUCUCCUCAGCCCUCUUUCCUCCAGAGACUUUCUGUGGGCCAAUGAGUUUCCUGCCAGACCAAGGGUGUCAUGCAGUUUAUGGCACAUCAUGCCCUCUGAGGAAUCCAGCUCAUUCCUCCACUGAGAGGCACCUCUGAAAACACAGUCAU